rnacentral:rRNA from 1 species
UACGUAGGGGGCUAGCGUUAUUCGGAAUCACUGGGCUUAAAGGGUGCGUAGGCGGCCCGGAAAGUUGGGUGUGAAAUCCCUCGGCUCAACCGAGGAAUUGCGCCCAAAACUACCGGGCUCGAGGGAGACAGAGGUGAGCGGAACUUAGGGUGGAGCGGUGAAAUGCGUUGAUAUCCUAAGGAACACCGGUGGCGAAAGCGGCUCACUGGGUCUUUUCUGACGCUGAGGCACGAAAGCCAGGGGAGCGAAC